rnacentral:ncRNA from 2 species
UAGAAUAUUUAGCAAAGCAGUUGAAAAGCUGUGACGCAAAGCUAAAGGGCCUGUAAAAUGGUAGCCAGUUGCAUUU